rnacentral:lncRNA from 1 species
UGAGAUCCAUGCAUACAUUUCACUGGAUUGAGGCAUUGAUAGAUUAUAGUUGCUUAUUACUGUACUGCUUUCAGUUUUAUAUAUCUAUCUAUCUGCAUAUCUAUCUGUGCCUGCUUAAGACCUAGUGGGGAGAUCGGCGGAGUCGGCGGCCGAACCCACUGGGAACUAUUCGUAGUUCUCACUCCACCACAUUGCAGGUCCGAGUUCGAGCGUCCCGGGAGAGGAUCGUGGCAAGGGCGUAGCGCCCUAGUGGUUCGUGUUUUAGCUAGCCUCUUCCUUUUUGUAUUAGCCCUGUAUUUAUGUUUGAGCGUAGAUGAUGUAUAAGGUGAGGUUGAGAGGAUUAUGUACACAUUGUAUAGUUGUGAAGAAUGCAAGUUGUAAUAACUGUAUAAAGUUAAGUGGAUCAAUAGAUAAGUAUAUCUCUCUUUUAUCACUUGUAUACCUUACUUGUGUUGCUUGCUCUUGAUUGUUAAGCACUAAUUGUGCUCUCGUGGUUGUUAAAUGAUUGUGUCCGUAGUCAAGUUAUUUCCUGGGAACUUGUGGUACACAAUCUUGUUGUUGGUGCCUUGGGCGGACAGGGAAGGUGCUGUCCGUUCGGCGGUCCGUUCGCCGCGCCUGAACCGUGCCAAAUUGGUAGCGGGCUCGGGGCGGGGGCGUGACA